ACCCUUGGUUAUCAUUACAGAACUAUGGAGGUGCAAUGAGACCCCCACUGAAUGCUUUAGGUGGCCCUGGAAUGCCUGGAAUGAACAUGGGUCCAGGUGGUGGUAGACCUUGGCCAAACCCCACAAAUGCCAAUUCAAUACCAUACUCCUCAGCAUCUCCUGGGAAUUAUGUAGUAAGUACAUUUUGGGUUUGUUUGCUCGUAAGAAUUGAUGUUACAUUUUAUUGGGCAAUGAAAUAGUUGUCCAGAUGUUAAGAAGAGCCCCUGUGUAUUGGCCAAGAAGUGAACAUCUUGAGUGGUUUCAUCUGCCAACCUCAGUACAUAUGUUGAUGUUCAUUAGAGAAACAGUUAUCAAUCUGUCUGGAAUUGCCCUGAGUACUGUUUUACUUUAGCAUAUGUUUCUGAAAACCAGUACAGUACAUUCUGUCCAAUCAUGAAGAGAGUCAUCCCCAGUUACACAAUGAAAUGUUCAAAUUUGCAGUUCUCCAGGAAAAUAAUCUACACCCUGUCCCCAACCGUAUGUAACACACACAAAGUCUAAAAAGACAUUAAACUUUCUCCCAAUCACAAAGUGAAUCAGACAACAGAAUAAUCACUAGUAAUCUGGAGAGAUCUUUUAGUUUUUUAUCAUUC